GCAGUGUAGCACUCGCGCCCUUGGGGGCUAGCGUUUGGCCGGAGCUACACACUCUUUACUCACGCACGCACACCGCCGUACACAGCACAAUCGUUCACCGUCCCGCCAAAGGCUCGUCUCUCGGGUUCUGCCUAGUGGAAGGAGUCGGACAACGCCGCACGUCACGGGCGUUUCGGAUUUCUUGCUUCCCAAAGGUUUGACGGCGGCCACCGGCGCCCCGGCCCAGCUCUGCUUUCCUUUGCUGACUCCUUCCUUUAGCUGUCUACCACCACUGCUGCGCUUGUGGAUGACUGCAGGAACACCGGGUACUUGCCACAAGUAUCUCUCCAGAUUCAUCAGCCUUUCACCUGUGACAAGCUCAGUCAAGAAGUGGCUCCUAAGUAAAAGCUGGGGAAGAACAAGGAAGAUAGAGCUCAGAGUAGAAAGCUGUGAAGUUCUGCACAACAGGUCCCCUUGGCCUGCUCUAACAGUUGGAAGGUGGGGGAAGCAUUCAUUUACUCAACAAAUAUAUACUGAGUGCCUUUUGCAUGCUAGGCACGCUUCUAGGGGUUGAGGACACAGCAGAGAGCACAAACAACAAUUCCAGCCCUCGUGGAGCUUACCUCUUCCACGUGGGAAAGACAGAUGGUAAAUGUAUAAGGACAAUAUAUGGACUGCUGUAUGAUUAGAAAUGCUAUGGAGAGGCUAGGAGUGCUGUCUCAUGCCUGUAAUCCCGCAGUUUGGGAGGCCAAAGGAGGAGGAUCACUUGAGGCCAGAAGUUGGAGACCCAACCUGGGCAACAUAACAGGCAUGGUAGCUCAUGUGGAAGCUUCCCGAGGCCCUCACCCAGAAGCAGAUGCUGGAGCCAUGCUUGUACAGCUUGCAGAACUAAAGCCCAGCUGGCUUGGUUCCAUGAAUCUUUGCCCUUCUUUCCAUCCACUUCUUCCUGCUUGGACAUUGGUUACCUGGAGAAGCAGAAGCCAUUUUAAGAUGAUGAAAGCAAAAGUUAAAUGUAUGAGAUGAUGGUGCAGAAAGCCAAAAGGGGCCUCCAGAACACUGAGCUUUGUGGAGUCGUGUACCAUAGCUGUAUUGCCGACCUCUGAACUUCCUGCUGAGAUAAAAAACAAUCCUUAUGUGUUUAUACUACUUUUAUUUCAGUUUCUUUUAAGUAUAGCAAACACAUUCCAAAUAAUAUGCAUCUGAAGUUUUUGGUUUUGUUUUUAAAUUUUUUUUUUAGGGAUGGGUUCUGGCUGCGUAGUGGCUAGAGUGUAGUGGCUAUUCUUAGGUGCGGUCAUAGCUCACUACAGCCUCUAACUGGCCUCAAGCAAUCCUCCCACCUCAGCUUCCAGGGUAGCUGGGAUUACAGGAGAGCACCACACUGAAGUUUCUGUUAAAUAGAAUGUUUGCUGUAGAUUUUUAGUUGAUGUCCUCUGUUAGGUUGAAAACCUUCCUUUAUUUUCUUGUGAAAUUUCUAAGAGAUUUUUAAAUCAUUAACUGGUAUUGAACUUUAUAAAAUGAUUUUUCUGUGUCUGAGAUGAUCAUGUGAUUAUUUUUCCUGUUUAUGUCCCUUGAUGUGAUGAUUUUUAUUGUAGAUCUUCCUUUAUUGAACCAAAUUUACGUUAUUUAUAUUAACCCUAUUUGAUUGUAAUAUAUUUUUAGUAGGGUAUUAGACUCUGUUACCUAACAUUUUACUUAGCAUUAUUUUGCAUCUAUGUUCAUAAGUAAAAUAGGAGUUUUUUUCUUUAUGUGACUAGGUAUCAACAUUAUAUUGGCCUUAUAAAUUAUGUUGAACACUUUGCCUAUUUUUUCUGUUUUUCCAG
rnacentral:lncRNA from 1 species